AGUCGAGCGGUACAGGCCUUCGGGUGCUGACGAGCGGCGGACGGGUGAGUAAUGCUUGGGAACUUGCCUUUCGGAGGGGGAUAACCAUUGGAAACGAUGGCUAAUACCGCAUAACGUCUACGGACCAAAGUGGGGGAUCUUCGGACCUCACACCGAGAGAUAGGCCCAAGUGAGAUUAGCUAGUUGGUGGGGUAAAGGCUCACCAAGGCGACGAUCUCUAGCUGUUCUGAGAGGAUGAUCAGCCACACUGGGACUGAGACACGGCCCAGACUCCUACGGGAGGCAGCAGUGGGGAAUAUUGCACAAUGGGGGAAACCCUGAUGCAGCCAUGCCGCGUGUGUGAAGAAGGCCUUCGGGUUGUAAAGCACUUUCAGUGGUGAGGAAGGCUAUCGUGUUAAUAGCACGGUAGAUUGACGUUAGCCACAGAAGAAGCACCGGCUAACUCCGUGCCAGCAGCCGCGGUAAUACGGAGGGUGCGAGCGUUAAUCGGAAUUACUGGGCGUAAAGCGUACGUAGGCGGCUCAUUAAGCAAGAUGUGAAAGCCCCGGGCUCAACCUGGGAAUGGCAUUUUGAACUGGUGAGCUCGAGUUUUGAAGAGGGUGGUAGAAUUUCCAGUGUAGCGGUGAAAUGCGUAGAUAUUGGAAGGAAUACCAGUGGCGAAGGCGGCCACCUGGUCAAGAACUGACGCUGAGGUACGAAAGCGUGGGGAGCAAACAGGAUUAGAUACCCUGGUAGUCCACGCCGUAAACGAUGUCAACUAGUUGUUCGUUUCAUAAACGAAGUGAGUAACGCAGCUAACGCACUAAGUUGACCGCCCUGGGAGUACGGC
rnacentral:rRNA from 1 species